GAGUUUGAUCAUGGCUCAGGAUGAACGCUGGCGGCGUGCCUAACACAUGCAAGUCGAGCGAGAACCGAAAAGACAGAGGCUUCGGCCGAAGGAUUUUUGGGGAAAGCGGCGGACGGGUGAGUAACGCGUAGGUAACCUGCCCUAUACACGGGGAUAGCCACUGGAAACGGUGAUUAAUACCCGAUAGUCUCUUGUAACGCAUGUUAUGAGUGGGAAAGAUUUAUCGGUAUGGGAUGGACCUGCGUCUGAUUAGCUAGUUGGUGGGGUAAUGGCCUACCAAGGCAACGAUCAGUAGCCGACCUUAGAGGGUGAUCGGCCACACUGGGACUGAGAACGGCCCAGACUCCUACGGGAGGCAGCAGUGGGGAAUAUUGCACAAUGGAGGGAACUCUGAUGCAGCAACGCCGCGUGAGUGAUGAAAUAUUUCGAUAUGUAAAGCUCUGUUCUAGGGGAAGAAAAUGACGGUACCCUAGCAGCAAGCCCCGGCUAACUACGUGCCAGCAGCCGCGGUAAUACGUAGGGGGCAAGCGUUAUCCGGAAUUAUUGGGCGUAAAGCGUACGCAGGCGGCCACAAAGGUCAGAGGUGAAAGACAGGGGCUCAACCCCUGCGAGCCUUUGAAACCAUUUGGCUUGAGCAUAGGAGGGGAAAGUGGAAUUUCUAGUGUAGCGGUGAAAUGCGUAGAUAUUAGAAGGAACACCGGUGGCCGAAGGCGACUUUCUGGACUAUGUCUGACGCUGAGGUACAAAAGCGUGGGGUAACCGAAACACGAUUAAAUACCCUGGUAGUCCACGCCGUAAACGAUGAAUACUAGGUGUCAGUGAGCGAUCAUUGGUGCCGGCGCUAACGCAAUAAGUAUUCCGCCUGGGGAGUACGGUCGCAAGACUAAAACUCAAAGGAAUUGACGGGGACCCGCACAAGCAGCGGAGCAUGUUGUUUAAUUCGAGGCAACGCGAAGAACCUUACCAAAUCUUGACAUACCACUGACCUACACCGUAAAGGUGUACUCUGCUUCGGCAGCAGUGGAUACAGGUGGUGCAUGGUUGUCGUCAGCUCGUGUCGUGAGAUGUUGGGUUAAGUCCCGUAACGAGCGCAACCCCUAUUUUUAGUUGCCAUCAGGUAGUGCUGGGCACUCUAAAGAGACUGCCAGAGAUAAUCUGGAGGAAGGUGGGGAUGAUGUCAAAUCAUCAUGCCCUUUAUGAUUUGGGCUACAAACGUGCUACAAUGGUCGGUACAACAGGUUGCCAAGCCGCAAGGUGGAGCUAAUCCCAAAAACCGAUCUCAGUUCGGAUUGGGGGCUGCAACUCGCCCCCAUGAAGUUGGAGUUGCUAGUAAUCGCGAAUCAGCAUGUCGCGGUGAAUGCGUUCCCGGGUCUUGUACACACCGCCCGUCACACCACGGAAGUUGAGGGCGCCCGAAGCCUGUGAUCUAACCCGUAAGGGAGGAAGCAGUCGAAGGUGAAAUCAAUGACUGGGGUGAAGUCGUAACAAGGUAAC
rnacentral:rRNA from 1 species